rnacentral:snoRNA from 1 species
CCCUUCUCAGGGUUGCACCUGGAGAGUUUCGAGGACUCUACUGGUCUCGACUACAGGAGGGAGAGUCAAGCAGAGGCCUAGCCAUUCCAUUCCUAGCUUGGGGAGUGGCUAGAGAGUGGAAGGCAAUCUGUUACAAGU